GAGGAAAGGUAGAGCUCUCAACCCAUUACUAUUCCGUUUUCAAUUUUUUAUUUUCUAGGAACAAAAUCAUUUCUAAUUUUCAUUUGACUAAACCAUUGAGGAUCAGCAGAAGAAGGACGGGUCGAGAACGAAGUUGAAAAUGAACGUGAAGCUUAAUCAUCAAGUUAACUAAGAAGAAUGAUGUUAAUAAGCUUCAGAUCAAGGUCUAUGAGAAGACAUGUCAAAUCGUUCCAUGCUCUCUUCAAGACCUUUGGUUGUGGGUCUGUGGCUUCGUAUCAUGUGUUCAUCUGUAGAAAGUUCACGAAACAUGUUCUUCCACAAUCCAAUCGACAAACCAAAGCCUCUGCCAAGACCUCAUAAUAUCAAAAUAUCUACAGGAAGCAGUCCAUGAUGAUCCAGGGAUCAAUUAGCGUCCACUGGUUGAACACUUUCUAACGCCCCUCAGAUAGGGAGGUAUUUAUGAGCUGAGUUCAUUUGAUGUGACAAAGAGCAAUCAGUAUUUCAAGCUGACUACUGCACCCGUAUCAGUUAGGUUCACUUAGCACACUACCUUGAUAGAGAUCACAGAAACCAUUAACCCUAUACCGGCAGAGGUCUUCCUGUUCCGGAGCUUUGAUCAAGUGUUGUUACUGGCUAACACAAACA